rnacentral:tRNA from 1 species
GGCGAGGUAGCUCAGCAGGUUAGAGCGUCGGAUUCAUAACCCGGAGGUCGGGAGUUCAAGUCUCCCUCUCGCUACAA